UACGUAGGGUGCAAGCGUUGUCCGGAAUUAUUGGGCGUAAAGAGCUCGUAGGCGGUCUGUCGCGUCUGCUGUGAAAACUCAGGGCUUAACCCUGAGCUUGCAGUGGGUACGGGCAGACUAGAGUGGCGGUAGGGGAGACUGGAAUUCCUGGUGUAGCGGUGAAAUGCGCAGAUAUCAGGAGGGAACACCGGUGGGCGAAGGCGGGUCUCUGGGCCGUAACUGACGCUGGAGGAGC
rnacentral:rRNA from 1 species